CCAUUUUCAGUUUUAGGAUAAGAGAAUUUUGGGUUCAUUAUGUUCUUCCAUUUUCAGUUUCCCCGGUGAAUGAGCCUUGGGAAAUGUUUUUAAUAAGUGGUUGUAAAGAUGUAAUAACGCGACAUCAUUGGUGUUGUCAAUAGUGAUAGACAACAUUGACAAGCUGAGAUGAUAGAUUCCCCAAAAAUUCCUGCCUUCCAUUCUUGGCUGUUUUCUCCCUGGCUCGAGCUAACAGAUAGCAGUGAUAUGAUAUUCCUCUUUUCUUGCUAUCCGAUCACUAUUCCCUUUACCACAAAAGAAGAAGAAGAAGGAUAACAUGCUUCUGGAUGUAGCCCAGAUCUGCAACAACUCAGAUUGUGAUGUUAGAUAUGAAAUCACAUGUGAAAGAACAGUUACUGCUUUUUUUUUUGGGUCCAGCAUUAGCAUAUUAUCCAAUGCCCCUUUUGUUCACUUCUCUCUUUCCUAACAAAUCAUUCCUCCUCAAGAAAAAACAACAGAUCAGAAAGGAUUCAUGUUGAAUUCCACACCUUCAAGAUUAGCAACAACAAAC
rnacentral:lncRNA from 1 species